GACGAGGGAUCCUAGCGUUGUUCGGAAUUAUUGGGCGUAAAGCGGGUGUAGGUGGCUUUGUAAGUCAGGUGUGAAAUCCUCCGGCUCAACUGGAGGGGGUCACUUGAAACUAUAGGGCUAGAGUGCAGUAGAGGGAGACGGAAUUCCCGGUGUAGUGGUGAAAUGCGUAGAUAUCGGGAGGAACACCAGUGGCGAAGGCGGUCUCCUGGGCUGUUACUGACGCUGAGGUGCGAAAGCGUGGGGAGCGAACCGGAUUAGAAACCCUAGUAGU
rnacentral:rRNA from 1 species